rnacentral:rRNA from 1 species
GACGAACGCUGGCGGCGUGCCUAAUACAUGCAAGUUGAGCGCUGAAGGUUGGGACUUGUACCGACUGGAUGAGCAGCGAACGGGUGAUUAACGCGUGGGGAAUCUGCCUUUGAGCGGGGGACAACAUUUGGAAACGAAUGCUAAUACCGCAUAAAAACUUUAAACACAAGGUUUAAGUUUGAAAGAUGCAAUUGCAUCACUCAAAGAUGAUCCCGCGUUGGAUUAGCUAGUUGGUGAGGUAAAGGCUCACCAAGGCGAUGAUACAUAGCCGAGCUGGGAGGGUGAUCGGCCAAAUUGGGACUGAGACACGGCCCAAACUCCUACGGGAGGCAGCAGUAGGGAAUCUUCGGCAAUGGACGAAAGUCUGACCGAGCAACGCCGCGGGAGUGGAGAAGGUUUUCGGAUCGUAAAACUCUGUUGGUAGAGAAGAACGUUGGUGAGAGUGGAAAGCUCAUCAAGUGACGGUAACUAACCAGAAAGGGACGGCUAACUACGUG